UACGAAGGGGGCUAGCGUUGCUCGGAAUCACUGGGCGUAAAGCGCACGUAGGCGGCUUUCUAAGUCAGGGGUGAAAUCCCGGAGCUCAACUCCGGAACUGCCUUUGAUACUGGAAGGCUCGAGUCCGGGAGAGGUGAGUGGAACUGCGAGUGUAGAGGUGAAAUUCGUAGAUAUUCGCAAGAACACCAGUGGCGAAGGCGGCUCACUGGCCCGGUACUGACGCUGAGGUGCGAAAGCGUGGGGAG
rnacentral:rRNA from 1 species